GCCUCGCCGGGGAGGAGGAGGGGCCGGGGCCGAGCCGGACCCCUCGGGAGGCCCCCGCGCAGGCCCGACCCCGCCCCAGCGCGCAGCCCGCGCUGCCAUUGGCGCCGCGCGCAGCCCCGCUGAACUGCCGGGGAGAGGCGGGGGAGACGCGCACCGGCCCGCGAGCGGGGGCCGGAGCUGGGGGCUCAGGGCAGCAGGUAGCGAGGCCGAGCCCCUCUCUCCAGGACGCCCUAUUUAAGCCAGGGUGUCAGUUGCUGACGAAUCAGCUUAAUCCCCCCAAAGUGAGCAAACUCCCGCGCCCUUGGCGUUUGCUGGGCGGAAACUCCUUCGCCUUAACCAAGCGCGGGUUCCGUCUUCCUGAACUGAGACCACGGGCACGUCGGCUCUUUUCAGAAGGUCAAGCGGCUAAUCCUCGAAGUCAUCCGGCAUAGCCAGAGUCUGUUCUUCCCCCCCCGUCCGAAAUGGCAAUUGUAACAGCCACAGGGCUCCCAGGAGACGUGGGUGCAAUAACGCUCAUGCCCAGUGUGGAGUCCAGUUCGAGGCUUGAACUCUGGAACCUGAGAUCAAAACCUGAGCUGAGAUCAAGAUACGGAUGCUUAACUGAGAGGUGACAUUUUCUCCAGGUUCUAAGGACAGAUCACCACGGCCCCUCUGCAAGAAUUCUUGGGGCGCCUGGGUGGCUCAGUCAGUUGAGCGUCCAACUUCCGACUUCUGCUCACGUCAUGAUCUCCCGGUUCGUGAGUUCGA